rnacentral:rRNA from 1 species
UACGGAGGGUGCAAGCGUUAUCCGAAUUUACUGGGUUUAAAGGGUGUGUAGGCGGUUUUUUAAGUCAGUGGUGAAAGCCUAGUGCUUAACAUUAGAAAUGCUAUUGAAACUGGAAAACUUGAAUCAAAGAGAGGUAAGUAGAAUUUAUAGUGUAGCAGUGAAAUGCUUAGAUACUAUAAGGAAUACCGAUAGCGAAAGCAGCUUGCUGGCUUUGUAUUGACGCUGAGACACGAAAGCAUGGGGAGCAAACAGG